AAUAAAUUACGGAUGUGCGUCUUUACGUCAAGGUCGUGAUUCUACAUAACAACAUCCGCUUGACCUCGCAAUGCCAUGAAGAAGAAAGGCGUGGAACAUUUGCUUAAGAUCUUCAGCAGAUGUUUGAGAAAAAAAAUCAUCAUCCUCUUCGUCACUCUUCAUCCGUAUUUGGGGUAACAAACACCUGCUUCCCACAAGAGACUGGACCUCUGAAGUCAGAUGUAACCAAGUAUAAAUUUACUGGUACAAUGUUAGAUGGAUCAUCAGACCUGCACCUUCCUUGAACAUGUUGGUAACUUACUCUGUAUUUGUUCACGGUGGUCACCCCAGGGUUUCAGGACUCAAAACGAGUGCUCUAUGGAUUGAACAUAAAAUGUGGAUCAACACUCCAACCAUCUGCAUUAGGGACUGAAAAAAGGAUGCCCUCUGUAGCUGGGAAUGUUAGAUCAGGCGGAUCAACAUUCCAUCCAUCUGCAUUAGGAUCUACCUUAGAGACACUCACUGGAGCUGUAAAUGGAAGCCGGUCACUUACUUUGCAUUCGUCCUUGGUGGUCACCCCAGGGUCUCUAGAGUGAAAAUUACUCAAUCUAUGGAUUAAACAGAAAAUUUAGUUUUAUGAAGUGCAAUUUGGGACAUUCCUCCAGUUGUCGGCAACUUUGUGAAAAAGGCUGGAAACUAAAAUGCAGAAUUCUGGCCUGGUGUUUGGUCCGUGCUGUCUUUGACUCUUGCAUCUCCAUCAUCCUGACCCUCUUUAGCAGCCUGUCCAUGUAUUUAUUCGGAGGCCACCAUGAGCACCCAUCUGCAUAAUAU